rnacentral:misc_RNA from 1 species
AACGCACAUUGCGCCCGCCAGUAUUCUGGCGGGCAUGCCUGUUCGAGCGUCAUUUCAACCCUCAAACCCCAGGGUUUGGUGUUGGAGAUCGGUUAGCUUUCUGCUUACCGGCUCCGAAAUCUAGUGGCGGUCUCGCUGCAGCCUCCAUUGCGUAGUAGAUAACACCUCGCAACUGGAACGCGGCGCGGCCAAGCCGUUAAACCCCCAACUUCUGAAUGUUGACCUCGGAUCAGGUAGGAAUACCCGCUGAACUUAA